UGAAGCAGAAGUUUCUGGGGUUGGGAAAGAGAUUGUGAUCAUGGACAUGUGAACAAUAAAUGCUUCCAAAUGGAGGGGAUUGGAUAAAAUAUAGUUUGUAUGAUCAUAGUAGAUGAUUUCAUUCAAAGACUCAUUGUCAUCUAAAUGGAAAAGUGGCCACUUAAAAGUACCUAAGCAAUAAUUUUGCUUUCAGUUACAGCAUAUUAUUUUUGAUGAGAAAUUGUACCUCAAUAUUAUAAUUUGAUCUGUCUUUAUUCUGCUUUCAGACAUUGCACAUUAAAAAUACACAAUUGUAUUGCUCAAUCAAUGCUUUUGCCCAUCUCCCCAUUCUUCUUCCUGAAAGACCUUCAUAUUUCAAGACACAGCACAAACAUUAUUUUCAUUGUCAUUCCCAAAGUAGACAACUACACGUGUAUAUUCCUGUGAUUCUGUAGAUAUUACAACUCUAAUCAGCUCUUAGUCUCAGAAACAAAAGCUAAUAAUAGUAAUAAUAAUACAAUGUAACGUUUCCUAACAUAGUCUGAGAGCUCUGUGAGAAAUGAAAUGUACUUAUAUACAUCUCCAUGCCUUCAUAGUAGCCCAUCAAUAAGAGUUUUUAAAUUGAGAACAUAAUUCCAAUAGAAGGCACAGGACUAUGGAAGACAAAAUCAUUUUCGAUAACCUCAAUUUUAAAAAGUCAGUGUUAGAAUUGAAAGUUCUAUUAUAUCUGGUUGGGUAAUCUGUCAGAUAAUGUGUAGUCCUUUUAAAGCAAGUUGUCCUGUGUUCUUAGAAAGUAAAAACUUUGAUAAACAAAAAAAUUUUAGUAUUUUGUAUCUUUAAUUUUACAUAAAACAAAUGUGAUUUCACCAUAUAGUAAUAGAAUAUUCAUCUUUUUUCC
rnacentral:lncRNA from 10 species